UACGUAGGGGGCAAGCGUUGUCCGGAAUCAUUGGGCGUAAAGAGCGUGUAGGCGGCCAGAAAAGUCCGCUGUGAAAACUCGAGGCUCAACUUCGAGCUGUCGGUGGAAACUUUCUGGCUAGAGUCCGGAAGAGGAGAAUGGAAUUCCUGGUGUAGCGGUGAAAUGCGCAGAUAUCAGGAAGAACACCCGUGGCGAAGGCGGUUCUCUGGGACGGUACUGACGCUGAGACGCGAAAGUGUGGGGAGCGAACAGG
rnacentral:rRNA from 1 species